UGGAGUGUGGCGCAGCGGUAGCGCAGCGGACUGUUAAUCCGUUGGUCGCGGGUUCGAAUCCCGCCACUCCAGCCA
rnacentral:tRNA from 1 species